GGGUAUAGCUCAGUGGUAGAGUGUGUGCUUAGCAUGCACGAGGUCCUGGGUUCAACCCCCAGCCCA
rnacentral:tRNA from 1 species